rnacentral:lncRNA from 1 species
GUGUGGUGAGAAGGAGCCGAAGAAGUUGGAUAAUUGUGAUGACCAGCCAAACCAUGGACCUGAAACUUUAAACACAGUGGAAAUGGAGUGUGGUGAGAAGGAGUCGAAGAAGUUGGAUAAUUGUGUUGACCAGCCGAAUCAUGGACCUGAAACUUUAAACACAGAGGAAAUGGAGUGUGGUGAGAAGGAGCCGAAGAAGUUGGAUAAUUGUGGUGACCAGCCGAAUCAUGGACCUGAAACUUUAAACACAGAGGAAAUGGAGUGUGGUGAGAAGGAGCCGAAGAAGUUGGAUAAUUGUGAUGACCAGCCGAAUCAUGGACCUGAAACUUUAAACACAGAGGAAAUGGAGUGUGGUGAGAAGGUGCUGAAGAAGUUGAAUAAUUGUGGUGACCAGCCAAAUCAUGCACUUGAAACUUUAAACACAGAGGAAAUGGAGUGUGGUGAGAAGGAGCCGAAGAAGUUGGAUAAUUGUGGUGACCAGCCAAAUAAUGCACCUGAAACUUUAAAC